rnacentral:rRNA from 1 species
GACGAACGCUGGCGGCGUGCUUAACACAUGCAAGUCGAACGAAGUGGCGAACGGGUGAGUAACGCGUAAUCAACCUGCCCUUCAGAGGGGGACAACAGUUGGAAACGACUGCUAAUACCGCAUCCUGAAGGCGGGGAUUGCGUCUGAUUAGCUAGUUGGAGGGGUAACGGCCCACCAAGGCGAUGAUCAGUAGCCGGUCUGAGGGGAUGAACGGCUACAUUGGGACUGUGAAACGCCCCAGACGCCGUCGGGGGGCAGCAGGGGGGAAUCUUCCGCAAUGGAUGAAAGUCUGACGGAGCAACGCUGCGUGAGUGAUGACGGCCUUCGGGUUGUAAAGCUCUGUUAAUCGGGACACGGUACCGGAAUAGAAAGCCACGGCUAACUACGGGCCAGCAGCGGCGGUAAUAC